rnacentral:rRNA from 1 species
GAGUAACACGUAUCCAACCUGCCCUUUACUCGGGGAUAGCCUUUCGAAAGAAAGAUUAAUACCCGAUAGCAUAAUGAUUCCGCAUGGUUUCAUUAUUAAAGGAUUCCGGUAAAGGAUGGGGAUGCGUUCCAUUAGGUUGUUGGUGAGGUAACGGCUCACCAAGCCUUCGAUGGAUAGGGGUUCUGAGAGGAAGGUCCCCCACAUUGGAACUGAGACACGGUCCAAACUCCUACGGGAGGCAGCAGUGAGGAAUAUUGGUCAAUGGGCGUUAGCCUGAACCAGCCAAGUAGCGUGAAGGAUGAAGGCUCUAUGGGUCGUAAACUUCUUUUAUAUAAGAAUAAAGUGCAGUAUGUAUACUGUUUUGUAUGUAUUAUAUGAAUAAGGAUCGGCUAACUCCGUGCCAGCAGCCGCGGUAAUACGGAGGAUCCGAGCGUUAUCCGGAUUUAUUGGGUUUAAAGGGGAGCGUAGGUGGACUGGUAAGUCAGUUGUGAAAGUUUGCGGCUCAACCGUAAAAUUGCAGUUGAUACUGUCAGUCUUGAGUACAGUAGAGGUGGGCGGAAUUCGUGGUGUAGCGGUGAAAUGCUUAGAUAUCACGAAGAACUCCGAUUGCGAAGGCAGCUCACUGGACUGCAACUGAC